rnacentral:sRNA from 1 species
GCCAGGUGCGGUGGCGUAUGCCUGUAAUCCUAGCAGCUUGGGAGGCUGAGGCAGGCUUUGAUCAUGAAUUCAGAGCCAGCCUCAG